GGAUAAGCUUCACUGGGCCAAACUGGCACAGGCUGGGGAAGAGGCUGUUGUGUUCUUACAGCUCAUACUGAAAGCAGGAGGCCUGGAUUGAAUUGUGCUGGACAAAUGAGUGACACCUGUCUGUCCCUGAGUUCCCCGUGACUGCUGGCACUGCAAGGAUUUUGCAGCACCAUUAGGAGAAAAACCAGCACCUAUUGCAAGCUUCAUUCCCAGUAUGCCUGAGCCACGAACACAGAUCUGUAAGGGACCACCUUGGAAGUAGAAAGAAGCCUCCCAGCAAGUAAAAUCUCAGAUCUCUGUGUACUAAGCAUAGAGAAGUAGUAAAGCCAAAACAGAAGGAAGAAGCUUGCAUCUCCCAAAGCUGUUAUCUCCUCCAGAAUUGCACCUUUCCCGAUUUAUGCCAAAGAAAUGCAGACUCAUCCUGACCCACUCCUCUUGCUAUAAAAAACCUCCAGAGAAGGAAGUCCAAAAAAUGGGGGAAGACACAAAAUCCUGGAGGCAGCUCAUUUUCUUCAGCCAAUGCACCAUAAACACUAUUCCUCUGUCCAAUAUAUUUUAAUUUUAUGUUUAGUAAUUAUUCACUAAAAUUUGCAAAAUAUUCAUAUUUUCUUGAUUGAUUAUGUACCAUUAUUUUUUCAGAUUUAUUUUUAAUUGACAAAUAAAAUCUACUAUGAAUACUUUUAA